CACGCGCCAUGCCCUUUCAUUUCUUCCCCUCUCCUUCGCGGUCUCACUUCUCCCUCUCCCUUCCUCGAUCUCUCUCCCGUUUUGCUUAUCCCUCUCCCUUAGUCGAUCUGAUCUCUCCCAUACGUCUCACUUCUCCCUCUCCCUUCCUCAAUCUCUCCCCUGUCUUGCUUCUCCCUCUCCCUUCUUGAUCUCUCCCUCGUGCUCUCUCGAUCUCUCUCCAACAGUUGAAGAGAAAGGAAGAAAAUUAGAGGAAGUCAAAGGUACUCUCUCUAUCUCUCUCACUUCCCCUUUUGAUGGCCAGAAAUUGGGCAGCAGCCAUAUCCGCCGCUGUCCAUGGCGGCCAAUAUGUGUAUGUUAAUUGUUUGAUGAAAUGCUUCAACCAAGAAUAUUCUUGGAAAAAAUGGAUUGUUGUUGUUUUGUUUUCUCAACCAUCUGUUUGUGGAUCACUGAUGAAAUGGUUAGGAUAUUUCAUCUUGGGAGAAUCUGUGGAGCAUGGUCCAUUUAUGGUGGUUCCCACCAGGCACCAGAUCAGGCAGCCUGAAUCAGUGAACCAUGUGCCCCAUGUGUGACCCACUCCAUAUCUGAUGAAGACCAUACAAUGCAUAUUCCAUCAUUGGAACUUUCGUUUUUGUGAACAUGUGUUGCAUCUGACCAAGCCAGAGAAGUGUUCUCCCAAUGCAUAUUCCAUCAUUGGAACUUUGGGAAUAUGUGUUGCAUUUGACCGAGCUAGAGAGUUGGUCACCCAAUGCAACGUAUCAAGCAACAAGGAUUUUCUCAUCAAAUUUGGGUGUAAGAAAGGCCCAACGCUUCUACAAUCUUGUCUUGCUUCCACGGGUUAGAGAAGACAUUCAAACGAACAAAAGGCUUCAUUUUGCCCUCUAUCAAGCAUUGAUGAAGUCUCUUUACAAGCCAGCAGCCUUCUUCAAGGGGAUUUUGCUACCACUAUGUGAGUUGAGUGCAGAUGAUGUCCAUUGGUCAUUCUAUGCAUUAGUGGCUAUCUGAAUCCAUUGCUUGGGAUAGUUUAUUUUGCAGUGGAUUCAUUGAUGGAGACUAGGUGCAGGUCAGUGGUAGCUUGAAUUUUCUCCAAUUUUUUGUGCAUUCAUGGUCUUCUGAUGUUGGUAUGGUGAUAUGGUGAUGUCUUAGAUAUGGGCAAUUUGUCUAACUUUGAGCAGUCAAAAGCAGGCCACUCAUUUAUGCAUUGUCAAUUUGCAGACUUCAUGUGAGAAGCUUUUCCAAUGUCCUUGGCAUAGGUUUACAUACAGGGCUAGCAGCAUGUGAAAAAAAUGUACCAUUGCAUAUGGCCACUGUCAAAUCCAAGUGGCUUGAGGCAGACAGAGAAUGGUAAGAGUUUCAAGCUUUGAUUGUCAUUACCAGCUUUGGAAAAAUCCAAGAAAGGAAGAUAAGUUCUUAUUCAUGAAAGAAUCUAUUUGAUGUGUCAGAGACUUCUUCAAGUCGAACCUAAUCCAUGCGUUUUUUCAAGCCAUCUUUGCACACGCAAGGAAACAUGUUUAAAAAAAAAAAAAUUAAUUAAAUUAAAUACAUGCAAUGUGUGUGUGUGAGCAGGUUGGGUCUUUUUUAACAAGAUCAUUGGGUGCAAGAAGUGCUGAAAGUAGAGGAGAAUGGUUCAUCAUUUCCUAAAAUUGGAAAGAAGUUUCCUUCACUACGUGGUGCUCUUGGUACCAAAGCUACAAUGGAUGCCACAGUCCCAGCAUGCAGAUCAAUGUAGUCAACGGUACCACAAAUCUAGCUCAGCACUCAAGGCUGGAGCCUUCUGUAGCUAUAGUUGGUGCAAUAAAUGACCUGAUGAGAUACUCGCACAAAUGCUUCCUGUACUCCAUUGAAUUACCAAAAUUGGGAGAUGCCAUAAAUGAGCAGAGGGCUGCUCUGCAUUCUGCUCUAGAGAAGUACCUUGUACAACUAGCAAAUAAGGUGUGCUAAUCUUCUCUACUCUUCAUAUAUCAAUAAAAACUGCAAUCUCCUUUUUAUGUGUUUCCAAAACUAAAAGGAGCAUCUUGGAAUCUUGUAACCCAUUUCCUGUUGUGGUGUUUAGGAACCAAGGAAGCUGUAUCAGGCAUUUUGGGCAUUUUGGGAUCCUUAGUAAUAAUUCCAAAAAAAAGAAAAGUUGUGAUGCUCUAGCAGAGUGUAAUGGAUGUCACCUUGUCAGAUUUAAUUAUUCUGAAAUAUUCCAUGGGAUUCCUGUGGUAAUAACUGUCAAAAGCAUCUAGACCAAUCAAACAUGGGAAAGAUAUUUGUCUUGGAUUGUUAAUGUCAAAAUUCAAAAAUGGCAGAAUCGAUCAUCUGUAUAAAAAGGUAAGGCUAGGGUGUUUGCUCUUGGUACAUGCAUGUGGCUCUCAUAAUCUACCAAUACACUCACACUGACACCAAAAAUCACUGUCCUCCAAUUACUUCUCCUUUCACCUGAAGUCCCAUUUGGUAAUCUAGUAGAGUGUGAUUUGUUUGUUGUAGAAGUAUUAUAAACUGAUGUUUGAUUAAAUGGUUCUAUUUUUUUUUAGGUGUUGGGCUUGAUACCUUUUCUAAUUGUAGCAAUAAUAUGUUUAGGGGACCUGUGGAUAUUCUUCAUUUGGAUGCUCAUCCAGAUAUCUAUCAUGCCUUUGAAGGAAACAAUUAUUCGCAUGCUUCCCCUUUUGCAAGAAUAAUGGAGGGUGGUUAUGCCCGGCAACUUCUACAAGUAAAGUUGUUUUCUUGUAUUUCUUUGUACUUCACCAUUUAGCAUAUAGAUUGUGGAACCACAAUAUGUUUACUUAGCAGCAACCAUGUCUGAAAAAAUAUAUGAUUAUUAUUAUUAUUAUUUGUUUCUCUGUUGCUUUCUCAUAAUUCAAUGCCUCAGUUUCAGCAUAUCCUAUCAUGUCAAAUGUCUCUUCAUCCACAUUGACUUUCUCUUCUUUAACAAUCUUACAUACAUGUAAUUUUUAUAUGUACUUUUUAAUUGUGGGUAUUAUAUCCGUAUCCAUGGCCAUGAUAUGUUAUUAGUGUUAUAUCCAGCAACCUUGGGGGCUUUGAAGGUUCUGCUUGUUGUAGGUGUAAAUGUGGUAAAGGAUGAAUUUUGUGAUGUACAUUUGGCUUAAUUACAAAUUUAAAUUCAUGUUUUCAGCUAGAAAAAGGUGUAGAUGGGCUAUUUGAUAGUUUUGCUAGAUUGGAUUCACAUGUCUCUAGUGUGGGACAGACUGCUGCCAAAAUUGGAGAUCAUCUGCAGGAGUAGGAUCACAAGUCCUACAGGCCUACAUCACAAGCCUUCCAAGGUUUCUGGGGACCGAGAAGCUACCCUUGUUCAAGCACUUGAAGAACAGAGGCAGACUCUUAGUAGAACAGAGCAGCAGGCAGUUUUUAGAGAGGACGUGCUUCGAAGAGACAUUGAUGAUCUUCAAAAGCGCUUUCAAGUCUGUUCUAUUUUCUCUGAUUUUCCAUCUUAGUACUUUCUUUUGCAUUCGUUUAUGACACUCAAUUGAGUCUAUUCAUGGUAACAACUCUCUUCCUCGGAGUCAUUGUUGCUAGUUUUUAAAUGAAAGAUUUGGGCAAGGCAUAAUUAAUUUGAGGGGAAAAGAAAAAAGAAAAAAGAGUAAUCAUGGUUUCAUUUAUUUAUUUA